AUGAGGAAGGAAUGCUGAUUUCUCAGGCUUGUGGGCUGCUAUCAGAAAGCUGCAUUUCAAAAUGGAAAGGGGCAAGUAACAUCCCAUCAGCCGAUAGCCAGGAGACCACCCCAGGGAGGCAGGGAGAUGCCUGCCUGGAGAGGCAACAGGAGCAAUAGGUCCUCUAUUUCACAUGAGAGGAUGCAUCGUGAACAGUACUGUUUUCAAGACAAUGGCCACUAUAACUGAGAGACAACAGAACACUGAGAAAAAUCCUGCAAUUCAAAUAUUGGGAGUCCCUAUGAUUGCUCAUAGGAGGUGACAUGUGGCUGAAAACCUGGUUCACAUGGGAUGCAAGAGACUUGAACAGCAGUUCCAGUGAACCUGAUGUGGAAAAUGGAUUCUGACUCAAUAGUAGAGAGUCUUAAUGGAUCCUGACUCAAUAAUGGAGAAACUCACAAAAAGAGGGGUGGAAAGAACUUUCUAAAAAGCAAAUGCUUCAGGCACACACACAAAAAGUUAAAAACCUAUUUUCUGUAGAAAAACAGUAUCAAUAGAAAGUGUUUGAACAAUCCUAAUAACUAGCCUAGUAAAAUAUGACUUACAUUGACUUUGACUUUUCAUGCCUUAGUCACAAAUACUCCUCUUUUCUUUCUGUCUUAUUUUUAAUUAAAUAGAAAUUUCCUACCACAUUGUCCAAUGGUAGAGGAAAUCACAUGAAACUCCUACCUUUCCUUUGGGAGAAAAAAUGCUAAGGAGUUUUUAAUCUUUUGCUCUCUUUCACUGCAAAUGGCAAUGCAUGUUUUUACAAGUCAAGGUCACAUUUAUCUAGUUGUCAUAGGGAAUAAAAACAUAUGGGAAAUCAGGCAUAUAGCAUUUAGUUUGGCUUUCUGGGAGAAGUAACACACAAGAAACCCUGUCAUGAAGAGGCUGUGUUUAGCCAACCUCUAGUACCUCGAACAGUUAUCUUUUUUGGCACUCACACUUAAACAGAGUAAUGAACCUUUCCUCUCCUUAGCUGUAAAUCAACACCAUCCAUGUGUCCCUUAAAAAAAACAUUAACAAAUUGUAUAAAUACCUGACCAGUCAAUAGAGGAUUCCCAUUUCAAUUGCCCACGGAAAGAAAAAAAAAUUCUUUUUGUAACAUAUUCAGAGCAAGUUCUUGUUGUGCAUUGCAACCAUUUUCAAGAUAAAUAUUUCAUGAGACAUAACUGACUCAAUACUAAAUGUUUUCUGGGAAAAAAAAUAACAAUCAUAUAUGAGCCUAUGAGCUCUUAAUGACUAUUGUCUCCAAAGCAGGAAUUGAAAGAAGCUGGAAAAACUAUGGAAAACAUAAUUUCAAAACAAAGCUUUCUGCUUUCUAAGUAUCUCAAAAGGGCACCUGAGAAAAGCUUUCUUAGCAAAGCAGCUGAACUACUGUAGCUGAGGCUCCCCUAGAGAGAAUCUUCUGGUAACCGCCUGGCCUAGGGGCAAGUUAGAAGGCUGGCCUGGAGAGAAAAGAAGCAGUAGUAUGAGGAAAAGGCAGUGAUAGGCAUCAUCUGAGGAAAGACCAACAUACAUUUGCUGUUUGAGCUUCCUCUAGAGGCUGAAAACCGUUUGAAGACAUCUUGAAUUGGAAGCAAGACAGUUUAAUUUUUUCACUGGUAAAGUAAAGAAAAAGAACAAGUUGCUGAACAAAAAAGACAGAGGAGUGCGAUUUUUAUAGAACUGUGCUGCAGUUUACAAGGAAAAUCUUUCAAAUUUUGGUGGAGAUGAUGUAAUCUAUCACUUUUGAUUGCCAGUGUAAGUUCCUAAUAACUUCCUUAAAUCUAGCUGGGAAUCACAUGAACCAUUGGAUGUGUUUUGACCUGGAUAAUUAUAUCACCAGCUCUUCUUUCUCUGUCCUAACCCAUUCCUGUGGCAAUGAUUACAUACAUUCCCCCACAAGUCUGGAUUCAGCAGUUCAAAAUUUUCCAUUGAAAAUCUAUCUGUAUUGAAAAACUGAGCAGCAAUGUCACUUCCAAGAUUUACCCUUUUUGUAAAG